rnacentral:misc_RNA from 1 species
UCUAACUCCACCCAAAGCCAUGCCAGAAACAGCUUCCUCAAAAGCUGGUAUUACCUCGCCAGAUCCUAGUUUGAAUUUGAAGAAGUCCUUCUCAUUUCCCUGCAUAUCAGGAAAUUACAGAACAUUGUUAAACUAGUCAUGCGCCUCCACUCCAGAAAUGGGGAAGCAUUUGAUACCUCAAAGGAACCACCCUUUGUCUUGUUUCGAGCUUCAAAUAUGCGGCCAUAGUAUCCUAUGGUAUAACCAUCCCAAUCAACCACAACUGUCUCUCCCAUCUUAGGCUUGGGGCCAUCUCCUACUCGCAAGUCCUGCAUUCAUUUUGGUUAGGAUUAAGGAAUUAAAAAGCAAAAACAAACUCUUUUUGAAUGCAUGCAUGUAAAUACAAAUUUAGAAACAUAUAUACUGUCCAAUCAUUGACCUUAAACUGAAGACCUGAAUCUGUUUCAGUGUAGUCUGGAUACCGCAUCUUUGACUUGCCAUAAUCCUUGCCCCGGAUUGCUGGCAUGUCAGCGAAUUCAGAUGCCAAAGCUACUCCAUCAAUCGAAGCAUUCCACAGAGCUCCACUCACCAAUCCAACGGAUAAGAUUACUACUUCUCUUCUCCCAAUGUCUCUUGUGUAACUCAUGGGGCUUCUUUGCACGCAUAAAGUGGAAUGGGAGAAACCGGACGGUUGAGCAGCGUUUGAUAUGCGCCAUCUGGUGGUUGUGGUGGCGGUGGCGGUCGUGGUUGAAGCUCUCCCAGCAGAUAGCGGUGGAAUUCGGAGAACUGAAAUGGAAGCCAUUGAAUUGAUAUAUUUAAUUAUUUAUCAUGGGCCAAUGAGGCUAGAGAGUGUGUAUUAAAUAUUAAUUAGGACGUGGCCGGAAGAUAACCG